rnacentral:rRNA from 1 species
AUGCAAGUCGAGCGAACAGAUGAGGAGCUUGCUCCUCUGACGUUAGCGGCGGACGGGUGAGUAACACGUGGAUAACCUACCUAUAAGACUGGGAUAACUUCGGGAAACCGGAGCUAAUACCGGAUAAUAUAUUGAACCGCAUGGUUCAAUAGUGAAAGACGGUUUUGCUGUCACUUAUAGAUGGAUCCGCGCCGCAUUAGCUAGUUGGUAAGGUAACGGCUUACCAAGGCAACGAUGCGUAGCCGACCUGAGAGGGUGAUCGGCCACACUGGAACUGAGACACGGUCCAGACUCCUACGGGAGGCAGCAGUAGGGAAUCUUCCGCAAUGGGCGAAAGCCUGACGGAGCAACGCCGCGUGAGUGAUGAAGGUCUUCGGAUCGUAAAACUCUGUUAUUAGGGAAGAACAAAUGUGUAAGUAACUAUGCACGUCUUGACGGUACCUAAUCAGAAAGCCACGGCUAACUACGUGCCAGCAGCCGCGGUAAUACGUAGGUGGCAAGCGUUAUCCGGAAUUAUUGGGCGUAAAGCGCGCGUAGGCGGUUUUUUAAGUCUGAUGUGAAAGCCCACGGCUCAACCGUGGAGGGUCAUUGGAAACUGGAAAACUUGAGUGCAGAAGAGGAAAGUGGAAUUCCAUGUGUAGCGGUGAAAUGCGCAGAGAUAUGGAGGAACACCAGUGGCGAAGGCGACUUUCUGGUCUGUAACUGACGCUGAUGUGCGAAAGC